rnacentral:rRNA from 1 species
ACGAACGCUGGCGGCACGCUUAACACAUGCAAGUCGAACGAGAGAAGAGGAGCUUGCUUUUCUGAUCUAGUGGCGGACGGGUGAGUAACACGUGAGCAAUCUGCCUUUCAGAGGGGGAUACCGAUUGGAAACGAUCGUUAAUACCGCAUAACAUAAUUGAACCGCAUGAUUUGAUUAUCAAAGAUUUAUCGCUGAAAGAUGAGCUCGCGUCUGAUUAGCUAGUUGGUAAGGUAACGGCUUACCAAGGCGACGAUCAGUAGCCGGACUGAGAGGUUGAUCGGCCACAUUGGGACUGAGACACGGCCCAGACUCCUACGGGAGGCAGCAGUGGGGAAUAUUGCACAAUGGAGGAAACUCUGAUGCAGCGAUGCCGCGUGAGGGAAGAAGGUUUUAGGAUUGUAAACCUCUGUCUUCAGGGACGAAAAAAGACGGUACCUGAGGAGGAAGCUCCGGCUAACUACGUGCCAGCAGCCGCGGUAAUACGUAGGGAGCGAGCGUUGUCCGGAAUUACUGGGUGUAAAGGGAGCGUAGGCGGGAUCGCAAGUCAUAUGUGAAAACUAUGGGCUUAACCCAUAAACUGCAUUUGAAACUGUGGUUCUUGAGUGAAGUAGAGGUAAGCGGAAUUCCUAGUGUAGCGGUGAAAUGCGUAGAUAUUAGGAGGAACAUCAGUGGCGAAGGCGGCUUACUGGGCUUUAACUGACGCUGAGGCUCGAAAGCGUGGGGAGCAAACAGGAUUAGAUACCCUGGUAGUCCACGCCGUAAACGAUGAUUACUAGGUGUGGGGGGACUGACCCCUUCCGUGCCGCAGCAAACGCAAUAAGUAAUCCACCUGGGGAGUACGACCGCAAGGUUGAAACUCAAAGGAAUUGACGGGGGCCCGCACAAGCAGUGGAGUAUGUGGAUUAAUUCGAAGCAACGCGAAGAACCUUACCAGGUCUUGACAUCGUAUGCAUAGCUCAGAGAUGAGUGAAAUCUCUUCGGAGACAUAUAGACAGGUGGUGCAUGGUUGUCGUCAGCUCGUGUCGUGAGAUGUUGGGUUAAGUCCCGCAACGAGCGCAACCCUUACUGUUAGUUGCUACGCAAGAGCACUCUAGCAGGACUGCCGUUGACAAAACGGAGGAAGGUGGGGAUGACGUCAAAUCAUCAUGCCCCUUAUGACCUGGGCCUCACACGUACUACAAUGGCUGUCAACAGAGGGAAGCAAAGCCGCGAGGUGGAGCGAACCCCUAAAAGCAGUCUUAGUUCGGAUUGUAGGCUGCAACCCGCCUACAUGAAGUCGGAAUUGCUAGUAAUCGCAGAUCAGCAUGCUGCGGUGAAUACGUUCCCGGGCCUUGUACACACCGCCCGUCACGCCAUGGGAGUCGGUAACACCCGAAGCCUGUAGUCUAACCGCAAGGAGGACGCAGUCGAAGGUGGGAUUGAUGACUGGGGUG